AGACGUCUACAUUAGAUACCCCCUGUAGUCCUAGCCGUAAACGAUACUCGCUAGGUGUCGGCCACGGUGCGACCGUUGUCGGUGCCGUAGGGAAGCCGUGAAGCGAGCCACCUGGGAAGUACGGCCGCAAGGCUGAAACUUAAAGGAAUUGGCGGGGGAGCACCACAACGGGUGGAGCUUGCGGUUUAAUCGGACUCAACGCCGGGAAUCUCACCGGAUAAGACAGCUGAAUGAUAGUCGGGAUGAAGACUCUACUUGACUAGCUG
rnacentral:rRNA from 1 species